UGGAUAGGGCCAUUGAGGGAUUUGGAAAACAUGUUGAACAUUAAAUUGCCUAAGUGUCAUUAAGGGGCACUAGGCGUAGCAAAUGUUGAAACUUCACAUUGUGACUUGAACUAGAUCUUCGGGAUGCUAGUGACUAUACCAUGUUAGAGACAUGAGGAUUGGAUACUUGAGACUUGGACUUUGCUUGCUUGCCAUUUGUGCUCAUUCGCACAUGCUUGUGAGGGUCGCUCCCUACAAGCCGGCACUCCGGAGUUAGCCUAUGCGACUUAUGUUCGCUCGUGCGGUAUUGAGAAGCCUACGGGGUCGAGUGGGACAGACACAUUCCAAGAGUAGGGAUGUUGGGCUACCACAGGCACUUAGGCGGCACAAGCUGGACUACCUUUGGUAGGUCCUUAAUUGGAAAUGAAAAUCGACACGGUGUUGUAUAUGAACAAUCACUACUAGAUAGGAUUAGUAGUUGGAUCACUUGGAUACGCUCAUGAUAUAGCAUUGGUACAUUUAGUAUACUUGCUGGCUUCAUUAUUGCAUCGUAGUAUACUUGGUUGUUUGGAUAGAGUUUACCCUUAUGCAUUGACAUAUUGCAUCGUGAGAUUUACUUGUUGAGACAUAUUAGUAUGCAGUGGACAUAUUACCUUGUGAUAGCGUAGAUGUACAUCACAUAGCAUCUGCUUACUUGAGACAUAUGGGUUAGCACUUCAUUUAUGCUUUCUUACCGUGUUACUAUUAUCUUUAUUGCUAAUAAUAUCUUGUACUUACCCUUGUUUUUGGGGCCUAGUGGAGCAGGAGCUGAUGUCAGUAAUUGCCCACUGGGAACUAUAAAUUAUAGUUCUCACGCCCUCUUUUUCUGGAUGUUUUUCAGAGCCUUCCACUCAGGGUUAGGCCAGGGAUCGUGGGAAGGGCGUUGCUUCGAGCUAGCUUCCUUUGAGGACGAGUUGCUAGGUGGUCCACCUCUCGAUUUAUAUUUCUUUUUGCGAGAGGUUGAGGAGUUUACCAGUGUACUAGAGACCACCAUUUUUGUACUAGAAACAAAUAUUGUAUAACUUAUGUUUACUCUUAUGUAUUAGUCAUGUUCUAUUACUUUUAGUAUAGAUGUUAGAACUUUACUCGUUCUGAUAUCAUUAGUUGCCUGUUAUUUCACUUCUUUUAUUUGUUCCAUCUCUUACUUUUACUUCCGCUUUUCUUGUAAACGCCUUAUAUGUGUAGACAUAUGGCGGGUCUGGGCACGCUACCGGGAGGGCCUCCGCCGGUCCCGGGGCGNCGCCCACCUCCUUGCCGACCCUUGCGCCGCUGAGGCCUUCGUGCCGAGGCCACCCGCUCCGAGGCCGCUUGCUCCUCGACUCGAAGCCGCGCCACCCGCGGCCGAUCUGCCUGAAGCCCCGCCACCCGCGGCCGAUACUUUCGAAGCCGCGCCACCCGCGGCAGGUCCGCCCGAAGCCACGCAGAGGCUCCGUCGAAGUCGCCGUCACCCGAAGCCGCGCCACCCGCGGCAGGUCCUCUCGAAGCCGCGCCACCCGCGGCCGAUUCACCAGAAGCCGCGCCACCAGUGGCCGGUCCUCUCGAAGCCGCGCCACCCGCGGCCGAUUCACCCGAAGCCGCGCCACCCGUGGUCGGUCCUCUCGAAGCCGCGCCACCCGCAGCCGAUCCGCCCGAAGCCGCUCCACCCGCGACCAAUUCGUCGAUGCGCAUGCCGAGCCGCCGCCCAUGACUCUGUUCGUGAUCUCGGCCGAUCCGUCGACGCCCGCGCGCCGUCGUCGACUUUGAUGGCUCGAACCCGAGGAGUUCCCUCUGAUGCCGCGUCGCUCCACCUCGAAGGCCGCAGCCCCGUUGAUGCCGCGCCGCUGUCGUGGCCCUUCACCGCUGCAGAGCGCCGCCGUCACGGCCCUCCUCCGUCGCGGUCUCAGAUCCGCGGCUCCACUAUCGGGUCACAGCCCCAGCGGAGCUCCGGCAUCAGCAAAGCCCGCCAUCUGCUCGACGGCGAUCCUGAGAGAGAGAGCGGUGCUCUCCUCUCAAACGGGUUCCGCCCGCCAAGUGCUUGAUGUGCCCGGAGUCCGCCCACCAACCGCUCGACGGCGAUCCUGAGAGAGAGAGCGGUGCUCUCCUCUCAAACGGGUUCCGCCCGCCAAGUGCUCGAUGUGCCCGGAGUCUGCCCACCAACCGCUCGACGGCGAAUCUGAGAGAGAGAGCGGUGCUCUCUUCUCAAACAACGGCAAAUUCGAGAGAGAGAGAGAGAGAGAGCAGUGCUCUCCUCUCAAAUGAAGUUAGAUCCGCUCGCCAAGUGCCCGACGGCGAAAUUGAGAGAGAGAGCAAUGCUCUCCUCUCAAAUGAAGUCAAGUCCGCCAACCGCUCCGACGACGAAUCCAAGAGAGAGAGCGGUGCUCUCCUCUUAAACAAAGUUCGCCCGCUAAUUGCUCGGUGGCGAAUCAUAAAGAGAGCGAUGCUCUCAUUUACCGACCAAUCAUUCGACGAAAUACUUCGUCGUCGACGUGCUAAUCAAACCGCUCGAUGGAAUGCCGAGAUGAACAUCGAUGGUGCUUUUUGCAAAAUAUCACCAAAAAGAGAGAUCACUCUAAAAGAGAGAGAGAGCUUUGACAAAAUCACAUUAGACACUUCAAAUUAAAUUGAAAUUUAAUUUGUUAUUUGAUCAAAAUAAAACCUCGAGACAUGAAUCUAGGCCCGAUCAUAUGGACCUAAGUCAUUGAACCUCAACCCAUCCGUAUUAAAUCAACACUUUGACUCUAAACCCAUUUAACCCAAUCUAAUCUAAACCCAUUAACCUUAACCUCAUCUAAAAUCCAUUAACUGUUACCCAUAACCCAAUCCUAUAACCCAAUCCAAUUAAACCUUAGCCCAAUUCUAAACCCAUAACCUAUAACCCAAUCCAAUUAAAUCUAGGCCUAGUCCAAAGCCCAGAGCCCAUUUACAAAUGGCCCCGGUCCAAAACCCAUUCGGGCCCACUAUCUAAGCCCAUUAUCCAAAACUCAUUAAAACCAUUAACCCAUAAACCCAUAUACAUAAACCUAUAUACAUUUACCCAUGAACCCAUACACAUUUAACCCAUAUCCAAGCCCAUAACCUUAACCAAGUCCAUGAACUUUGAACCAAAACCAUGGACCAAACCAUACACCAAAUCCUGUGGACCAUACCAUACACCAAAUCCACGAACUAUGAAUCAAGUUCAUGAAUCAAAUCAAGUUCAUGAGCCAUGGAUCAUAAACCACAAACCAUACACCAAGUUCAUGAACCAUAAACCCAUGAACCAUAAGUCCAUGAACCAUAAACCCAUGAACCAUAAGUCCAUGAACCAUAAACCCAUGAACCAUAAGUUCAUGAACCAUAAACCCAUGAACCAUAUCUAAGUUCAUGAACCAUAAUCCCAUAUACCCAAUACCAUAAACCUUGUGAACCAAACCCAAUCAAUCGACCGAAACGUCGUUAAACUAAUCCACCAAAUCAAUCGACCGAAACGUCGUUAAACUAAACCUAAAUCCGAUAUCGACCGAAAUGUCGUUAAACUAAACUCAAGUUCAAUUUUCACGAACAUCCCAAUUCCCAAAAUAUUCGAUUCUCUAGCAUAUAAAACUAGAGUCAAAUCACAAUUAUGUUCAAACUUGAUCAAAUUCUAAACCUAUAUUUAGAAUUGAUCAAACCAUCUGAUCAAAUUAAUUUGUUGGAUUCCAAUACAUACAUUUGGAGUUUAAUUUAAAUCAAAUCUGACUAAUCCUAAUACAUAUAAUUAGGAUUUAGUUAAUAUUUCACCUUGAGAUGAACCAAAAUCAAAUGUGACUAAGCUCUAAUACAUAAACUUAGAGACUAAUUGUAUCAGACUCUAAAAUAUAAAAUUAGAGUCUAAUUCAAGAUAUUUGGGGCUAAUCCUAAUACAUAUAUUUAGGAUGAAAGCUCAAAUCAAACUCUAUUGGACUUUAUUACAUAUAUUUUUAAAGUUCAAUUAACCAAAUCAACUUCUAAUACAUAUAAUUAGAGUUUAAUCAAGUUCGAUUAAAUUCCAAUGCAUAUAUAUGGGAUUUAAUCAAUCUUUCAUCUCAUGGUAAACAAAGUUGAGCUCCAAAAUAUAUAGAGCUCAACAAAAUCUGAUCAUCUAUUGGACUUUAUUACAUAUAUUUAAAGUUCAAUUAACCAAAUCAAACUCUAAUACAUAUAAUUAGAGUUUAAUCUGAAUUAAAUCUGAUUAAAUUCCAAUACAUAUAUAUAUGGAAUUUAAUCAAUCUUUCAUCUUAGGGUGAAUAGUGUUGAGCUCCACAACAUAUAGAGUCCAACAAAAUUAAUUUGACCAUAUAUUGGGUAUCUUAGAAUAUAUAACUAAGAUACAAUUGAAAAAUACAUUUUCUUUACGCUCUAUUCAUGUACACUGAGGGUAUGCCCUUGGUUAAAGCCAUGUAAUUGAGCAAUAAAUUGUAAAUUUUCUUUUGUCCAAUUCUAUUUUAUCUUCAGCAUUUCAGAGGUCUCUUAAUCGAAGGUGCCCUAAUAUUCUAUAGGGGUAAUUAACAAUAGACGCUUGCGUUUAUUGGAAGCCAUGGAUCCGCAAUACCUGAUAACCAUACAUACACAUAUUUUAAUCUACAUCAUGAAUACUACCCCACGGGAGAACCAAAAGAUAAAAAUUUCCCGUGCGAGGUGCGUCAUUCGUGGUGGCAGACAAAAUGGCACGCCCGGUGGGACUCGGCUUCUCCUUCCAUCUUUGAGACCGAUGAUAUGCUAAUAGAAUUGGACGGUAAAUAUUUAAUCUACACUCGUUAUUCCCCUGCAGGAGAAAUGGCACCUAAGAACACUGCUGCGGGCUCGAUGACGAUCAAGGCUGGUCAGGUUUCCCUGCCAGCAUCCAUCCUCACUUUCGGAGCUGCCGGUGCUACAAUCCAAUUCGGCACCAUCCCGGAAGAGGCUAGGGCUGCUGCUAUGGCCCCUUUCACUGCUGCUACCAGCACCGACAUCGUUAAGACUGUGGUUCCCCGCCUUCUCUCUCGCGGAAGGCGCCCGAAUGUCGUCAUCCCCAACCCUCCUCGCGUUCCAAUGAAGGAGAGGAUGACUCUUAACGCCUCUCGUGUCCCUGUGAGGGAGAGGAUCACGCCUAUCAGUGCUUCAAAGAGAAUGGAGCUACAAGGUAGGCUAGUGUUCCAAAAUCGAAGUGAGGGAACAUCGCCACUUGAUAUGGCGCCUAAAGCGUCAGUCUUCAAUAGGUUGACGAUCCCCAAGAAUGCUGUGUCUCCUAUGACAAAGGCAUUCAAAAGAAAUCUUCGCCGUACUUUGAAGCGGCAAGAGAUGAACAAGGAACAGAAGUCUCGACAAACCCAACUUACUAGGUUUGUCGCUGGACCUGAUGUUUUGGUCCAUAACCGAUAUGCACCCCUGAGGUUUGUGAGGAAAAACUCACCUACGACCGUUCUGUGCCCAGAGUCAGAAAUGGCCCACUUAAAGCCUUCCCCUGCAUGUUCUCGUUCGAGAAACAAUAACGAGAACCCUGUCUGCAAGCGGAUAUAUAAAGCCUUUAAGGCUGCAAAGGGAAGGAUAAACAUAGAGAAGAAGAUUGAGAAGCCAAAAUGGCAGCGAAGGUCGACGCUAUCCCAUGAAGAGAGAAAAACAGAAUGGAAGCCCAAAACUCUUACUCAAAUCAAAGAAGAAAAAUCUAAAAAUUUGGAGAUUCAUACUGUGAGAGUUAUAGGGCGUGUGCCCUCAAGUGAGGCUGUUAACGAAGAAGAAACAAUUCAACAAAUGCUUACCAGAGCUGCUGCAAGAAAAGCAGCAGAAGAGAAGGCGAGAGCUAAAGAAACAAGCUCUUUGCAAAACGCUGGGAAUAAAGAUGACUUACCUGGUGAUCUAUCUGAUCCACGGGAGGAAGAAGAGGUUGUAUUCUUCCCUAGGGAUCCAAAGGAUGCUAUAAUCGCAUCCUUGAAAAAGAAAGUUGAUGAAAAAGAUAGAGAUAUUAUAAAUCUCUAUAAGAAAAUAGAGGAGGUUAUGGGUUUGAUGAUGAAUGUACAGAAACAGUUGGAGAAUCAACGGCAUCAAACCAAGACUCCAGCUCGGACAGAAGCACCCGCACCCCAAGUCAUUAAUGAACAGGCUAAAACAACUGUUCCUAAAGAGACUACCUCUUUGACUAAAGAAGAGAUUCAUGAUUUGAUCACUUCUUAAGUUAAAGAAACGGUAGCGGGGGCAAACCCAAAACCAAAAGGGAAAGGACAUCCUUAUCUAUCAGAAUAUGAUAAUAUACCUUUUCCAGACGGGUAUCAAGUCCCUAAGUUCAAAAUGUUCUAUGGUGUUGGUAACCCUGAUCAGCACCUAGCACAUUUUAAGGCCAUGUGUGGAAAUACCGGGAGUAACGGGCCUCUACUCUUACGACAAUUUCCACAAAGCUUAUCGGGUAUAGCCUUUGAAUGGUACUACUCCCUCGAGGAUGAGUCCAUUAAAACUUGGCCCGACAUGGAAGAAGCUUUCAAAGCAAAAUUCGCCACUGCUAGCGAUAAGAUUACUAUCGCUGAUCUGGUAGCCACCAGACGAAGGAAAGAUGAAACGAUGUUAGAUUACAUCACACGGUGGCGAAACUUAAGUAUAAGGUGUGAACAACCUCUAGAUCAGACCCAGGCCGUUGGUCUUGUUAUGGGCAACAUUGAUAAUUGGAUGGCCCCAUUUCUUUGCACAUCUAGUUGUUCCACCUUUCAUGAAUUAAUAUCAAACGUCUCUAGGUUGGAGAGAACUGAUCCCCAAGUUUAAUAAAUGUACAAAAGACAAAAAGGGAUGAUAAUAAAAGAGUUGAGGCAAAGAUGGCACAGGCUAGACCGGCCCGCACGAACAUGAUAGAAAAAGGUAAAAGGGCAAUUACCUCUGCAGUUGAACAGACCCCUGUAAAGCCUAUGUUUGGGGGCAAUAAUCCAAAAGCACUUUCUCUGGAAGAGUGAAGAAAUAAAGUGUACCCUUUCAAACGGGAAAAAGUUAAGAAAAUAUUUAACGAUGCUGUUAAAAAUGGUCUUCAACUGCCCGAGCCAAGGAAGCCGGAGGUGUGGAAAAACUGAUAAUCCAAAAUACUGCCCAUAUCAUAGGCUAAUUAGCCAUCCAAUUGAAGAUUGCUGGGUUUUCAAAGACUGGAUUGAAAAACAAUAUAAAACCGACGCAAUUACCCUUUCACAGUCGGUAUUAUCAGAAACGCCAGUCGAACAGACCAAUAUGAUUGGUGUGGGUGCGGAAAAUAUAGAAGGAAUUGAAAAUGCAUUUUCCCCCGAGUUUUGGAAUAUAUUCUUAUCUAAGAAAACUCGAAAAAUGUUAAAAUAUUUAAAAGAGGUUCCAGGGAUAAAGUGGCGAGGCCCUUUAAACCCGGAAGUGCAGUCUGAGGAUAAGCCCAUGCCUUCAGUCAAAAAAUCUAAUACUCCAGCCAAGUCGAGGCGCAGAAUAGCUCGGGCGAAAAAGAAUAAGAAAUUCGUUGAGCCAGCUGAGCCACAGCAUAAAAAACGGCCUAUUGAGGAACAUAUUGACUCAAUGGAAGAAUAUAAACAGGCUGAAAGGGAUCCUCUUCUGAUUCAUGAUUUUAUUUCCAAAGCAAUAGAAGAGGCUAAGAAAAAGAAAAACUCUGAUGAAGGAAAAAUUCCUGUUGAGGAAUGUAAAGAAACAGAAGAGCCUUUUUGGGGAGAGGCUUGCAGAGUUAUCACCACGCGACGCGACGAUGAAGAAACUUUUCCUUCUGGCCGCGUUAGAGAACAAGAAAGGAAUCUCAGAGAAAUUCAUAGCCAAUUGGCUGAGAUAAAAGAAAUGACACGUUGCAGCUUUCACAGGGUAAAUGAUAAUAUAUUGGAUAUGAAAGCAUGCUUGAAUGUAAUGUUCUCUAUGAUGAUUGGGAUCGAAGCCAGAGUGGAACAAUUAAUGAAAAUUACUCCUCUCCCUCAGCAGACUCAGUCACAAAACCACAGAGAACGGGAGAUCGAGCCGUUGCCAAGGCUUACAAAUCGAUCUUCAAAUCAGCAUUCACCCAAUACUUUUCGAAGUGAUAAAGGAAAAACCCCUCUUAUAGAAACUAAAAAUAUGGGUGGGGAAUGUCCGAGAACGGCACUGACAGAAAGAAGGAAUUCUCAGUAUUCUAACGGCGAAAGUACACCCAUGUAUUGUCCUUUUCAUGAAGUGAAAGGACAUAACCUAGAAAACUGUUACGCUUUUCAACAUAUGAGAAAAUCAAGAAAGCAGUUUUCUCAAAGGACAAAUAUCAAGCAAAAUACCAGAAGCACAAGCCACGAGAAAAAUAAGGACAAGACUAUUCCUUACACACGGGAGUCAUGCCGUGUGAUUACAAUAUCUGAUGACGUGUCAGAUGACGUGUCAGAAAGCCCUGCGCCGACCCUGGGGGCAAAUCAACAGACCUCCACACCAAACGAUGAUACUUAUGUUGAUCCUUUGGAAUUAUAUGACACUUCAACUUAUAAUGAUCCAAUGAAUAAGUUGUAUAGAAUGGAGUGUCGCUUAAUCAGAAUGGAGGGAGAAAUGAGGGGGCUGCACAAUGAUAUUAACUUCAUAAAGAUGAAUAUGAACAGUAUGACUGGCGAUAUAAAGGGCAUAGAUAUUCAAAUGAGAACUAUAAUAGAUAUGCUCAAGACAGAUGCUACUGAAGCAUCAAAAAGAUGUCGGGUUGAGACAUGCCGAGUCAUAACUGUGCAAGUUGAUUCGGAGCAAUUAAAGUCAACAAAAGCCGAAUACGACGCAAAUUUCUAUGAAGCACACAUAAUUGCUCAAGAAAUUAAAAGAAUGUCGGUGAGAGGAAAUGCAGGGUCAUCUUCGCUGAAAAAGAAGAAGAAACCAACUCUAAGCCAGCAGUCAGAGGCUCGCCAGAAUAAUGAACCUCUAAUUAAGGAAGGGAAAAAGAAAGUUAUAUCGACAGAGUUCUGUUCCUAUCACAAUAUAUGGGGGCACACCCUAGAAAAUUGUCGCCAAUGAAAAAAGAUGCAGAAUCUAACUGUUGACAAGGCGAAGCUAAAGGUCGAUCAACCGACGGUUGCCGGGUCCAAAAGUCAACGAUGGAAGAGACAUCUGCCACGAUUUGAGAAACAACAACCCAUUACUCUGGAAGAAUUCAGAAAAGCAUGCUAUGAUGCUUUCGAUGAUAUGAAACCGCGUUGUUGUUGGUGUAGAGCGAGAGGUCAUGCUUAUGAUGUAUGCGUGAAACUUCGAGACCAUAGAAAAAACAAAUCACAGCUCAAAGAGUCGUGUCGAGUAAUAACAAUCUCUGAAGAGCAAUCUGACGACUCUGUAAAUCAAGAGAAUAGGGUCAGGCAAUCUGCUGGUGCACGUGAAGAUGAUGAUACCGCGUGGCUAGCAUACAAUACCCCGAGCAGGGAUUAUGGUGCAAGGAGAAUGGAAUAUCGUCUUCUUGAGAUUGACAAUGAUUUGAGGAGAGUGCAGAUUGAUGUACGCUCUCUAGCAACAAACAUAGAUUGUGUGGCCAUGGCGGUAAAAAGCAUGAAGGAACAAUUGAAAGAGAUCCUCAACCAGUUGAAUACUCUUGAAAAGACUAGAGUCGAAACAUGCCAAACUGUUACUUAUGGUACUGACUCUAAUACUAAGCAAGAUAAAGAAGCUGAGGAUUCUUUGCAAAUCACGCUGAAAUCCGGAAAAGUAUUACCAGAAAGACAAGGACAUCCCCAAAAUCUUAAAGAUAAAGAAAUUCGGAUAAAUGAAGAGGCACCGACUUCAUCAAGUCAAGGGAGAUUAUCAAAGGCUGACUAUAACAUACUUUCCCAUUUAAGAAAAGUGCCUGCUUUGCUGAGUGUUUAUGACGCUCUGAUGAUGUCCAAAGAACUUCGGUGUAACACACUGGACCUUUGCAAAUUGCGAGGUUCGAGUGUUUGGAUGUAUUUCGAGCUUUUCCACACUUGGUGAAGGGUUGUAGAAUAUUUUCCGACCUAAAAAGUUCGAAAAUCGGGAUUCUGGAUAAGUCCUGAGAGUUUUUACUCUCGGGGACCGGUCCCUGGAAGGAGAGACCGGUCCCCCAGUGAGCAGUGUUGAGGCAGCCUGAGGCAACCGGUCCCUGGCAGGCGAGACCGGUCCCCGAGCGCAUCUUCGCAGUCAGAGACCGGUCCCGCCCAGGGAGAGACCGGUUCCCGAAUGCUGGUUUUUCGGGUUCGCAGCGAGAGACCGGUCCCUGCUGGGGAGAGACCGGUCCCUCUGGGCGAAAACUGCCCAGUUCGGACUGAUGCAAAUUUGAAUUUUUGAGGGGCCUCUCCGGAUUUUGUUACACUAGUUGGGCUUAUUAGCCAUUUCCUCCUCUUCCCUCUCUCAUUUUCUCAUUCUCACCCUCUCCCUACACUAUCUAGAGAGAGAAGAAGAAGAAGAAGGAGCAGAAGAAGAAGAGGAGCUAGCUUGAGGGAGCUUGGAGCUCAACCCCUUUCUCUCUUUUCCACCUUUGCAAGGCUUGGAGCUUGCUUAUAGAGCUUAGUGGUGGACCAAACUUCAACCCUAGGGCAUUUUGGGCUUGGAUUGAAGCUUCCAAAGGGUUAGUAUCAUGUUUCCCUCCUCUAGAUUCUUAUUUUAGUGAUUUUUGGGAGAUGAAACCUUAGAAAUGAGAUUUAGGGUUGAUUUUAGGGCUUUUUGAUCUAGGGCCUUUGAGGCUAGAUUAAUUGGUUUAGAACCUUCCUAGGGCUUGGAUUGGAAUGGUUCUAGCUCUCUUUUGGAGCUUUGGGAGAGAUUUCUACUCUUGAGAUUAGUUUUGGCCCUUUUUGCUUCUAGGUUAAUGUUUGAUAUUAUAAGAUGGUCGUAAUGCCCUCGUAUCUCUUCGCUGAUUACUUUUAGGGUAUUUUGAGACUCGGGGACAACUUUGUUCGGCGGAACGAGGCCCUACGCGACGGUUCGGUGGGUUUGACCUAGCCACACAAUGAGAAAUUCUCCUUUGUGCUUAAUUAAGUAUCGUUAAAUGAAAAAGCAUGCAUAUUCUUGUUAUAUGUAUUUAUUGUGAAUUUUAGAAUGCUUAAAAGGCCUAUGUUGUAUAUGAUGAAAUUUUGGACCUCUAUGGAGUAGAGAGUAGCUUGGUAGGCCUAUGGUUGCAUUUAGCGUUCUAUAUGAGACUUGAUUUCAUGCUUCUAUAGUGUACAUGAGUUUUGAUUCAUGCAUUUAAACUUAAGUUUACUUGUGACAUGAAAGAUGAUGAAAUUGCCAUAUAGAGGUAUUGGAACUAGAAUGUACAUGAUCUAGAGCUAAUGUCAUCAAGCGGCAUUGAGCUCGGGACAUGUGAGAACCUAGUGGAUAGGGCCAUUGAGGGAUUUGGAAUACAUGUUGAACAUCAAAUUGUCUAAGUGUCAUCAAGGGGCACUAGGCGUAGCCAAUGUUGAAAAUUCACAUUAUGCCUUAAACUAGAUCUUCGGGAUGCUAGUGACUAUACCAUGUUAGAGACAUGAGGAUUGGAUACUUGAGACUUGGACUUUGCUUGCUUGCCAUUUGUGCUCAUUCGCACAUGCUUGUGAGGGUCGCUCCCUACAAGCCGGCACUCCGGAGUUAGCCUACGCGACUUUUGUUCGCUCGUGCGGUAUUGAGAAGCCUACGGGGUCGAGUGGGACAGACACAUUCCAAGAGUAGGGAUGUUGGGCUACCACAGGCACUUAGGCGGCACAAGCUGGACUACCUUUGGUAGGUCCUUAAUUGGAAAUGAAAAUCGACACGGUGUUGUAUAUGAACAAUCACUACUAGAUAGGAUUAGUAGUUGGAUUACUUGGACACGCUUAUGAUAUAGCAUUGGUACAUUUAGUAUACUUGCCGGUUUCAUUAUUGCAUCGUAGUAUACUCGGUUGUUUGGAUAGAGUUUACCCUUAUGCAUUGACAUAUUGCAUCGUGAGGUUUACUUGUUUAUUAUGUUGAGACAUAUUAGUAUGCAUUGGACAUAUUACCUUAUGAUAGCGUAGAUGUACAUCACCAUGGCAUCAUGCUUACUUGAGAUAUAUGGGUUAGCACUUCAUUUAUGCUUUCUUACUGUGUUACUAUUAUCUUUAUGGUUAUUACUAUCUUGGACUUACCCCUUUCCUUUUGGGGCCUAGUGGUGCGAUGAGCUGAGGUCAGUAAUUGCCCACUGGGAACUAUAAAUUAUAGUUCUCACGCCCUCUUUUUCUCGAUGUUUUUCAGAGCCUUCCACUCAGGGUGAGGCCAGGGAUCGCGGGAAGGGAGUUGCUUCGAGCUAGCUUCCUUCGAGGACGAGUUGCUAGGUGGUCUACCUCUCGAUGUCUUAUUUUAUUUUGCGAGAGGUUGAGGGUUUUACCAGUGUACUAGAGACCACCAUUUUUGUACUAGUGACAGAUAUUGUACUACUUAUGAUUUCUUUUAUUGUCUAGCUUUACUUCUUUACCUUGGUGUAGAUGUUAGAACUUUACUCGCUCUGAUAUCAUUAGUUGCUAGUUAUUUCACUUCUUUUAUUUGUUCUAUCUCUUGCUUUUACUUCCGCUUUUCUUGUAGACGCCUUAUAUGUGUAGACAUAUGGCGGGUCUGGGCACGCUACCGGGAGGGCCUCCGCCGGUCCCGGGGCGUGACAGAUUAAUUUGGUAUCAGAGCCUAGGGUUGAGUCUUAGUGGACCUAGUAAACCUUAGGCCGGUUGGACUAUAGGAAUUAGGCUCGUGAGAGACGAGGUCUAAGUGACUUGUGAGCGAAAGUAUCCUGAUUGGGUGUCUUGAUAGCUCUACAAAGGUUAGAGUUUGAUCGGAGUGUAUGGCUUCUAACUUCGCGGAGGGUUACGUUGGCGGCCGACAACGUAACAUCGGGAGUUAGUUGUGAAGGACACUUCCUUACUUUCGCAUGAUUUGGAAUUUUAUCUAUUUGAGCGGGGAUGCGACAGCGUGGGUUACAAACUUGCGCUUUUAUGUUCUGUAGUGACGAUGCCGAUUACACGCGCCCAGUCUGCCGGGGCGGAUGAUGCGGCACACCCCGAGGAGGUCGAGACCUCCGCUACUUCCGGAUCCAGUGAGGUCCGCGACCUGAGGGCCCAGCUUGCGGUUCUCACUGAUCUGUUGGCGCAGCAGACGACGGCGGCGCAGCGACAGGCUGAGGUGGCUCAGCGGCAGGAGGCGCGGAUGAAGCACCUCGAGGACCUCCUACUUCAGCAGGCGGCAGCUUCGAGGGAGACUCAGGGUCCCACACCGCCAGCACCCGUGGUGGACGUCGCACCGAGGGCGCAGUCCCCCGCGCCCAGUUCUUCACGUGCGGCACCGGCGACCGCACCUCGGGAGGAGGUGGCUGCGGCACUACCUGCUCAGAGACCGGUGACAGGGGCAGCAUUCCCCGUGAUGGCCGAGGGAGCCGAGCGGGAUCGGCUUAUGGAGCGCCUCGGUGAGUUUAGGAGGUGCAGCCCGAGGACGUUUGAUGGCGAGAACGUCGACCACUGGAUUGUUGAGAAGUGGUUGCUGCACAUGGAGAAGCUGUUUCGAGACACUUUUGUGGAGGAGCGGGAUAGAGUUUGGCUCGCCACUCACUUUUUGGACGGGGAGGCCUGUCGUUGGUGGUUGGAUAUCCAGGACAACCCCAACACCGACUUGGCAGCGAUUACUUAGAUGAGGUUCAAGGAGCUUCUUCUGGCGCACCACUUCCCGACCAGCGUUAAGAGGAAGAUGGGGCAGGAUUUGCGCAGCUUGCGCUAGGAUGAGCGGACAGUGGCGGAGUACGAGAGGGAGUUCUCCCGGAUAUUACACUGUGUACCGUUUGUGGUGAGGGAUGACGAGGACAAGGCCCGCAUCUUUGAGCGCGGUUUGCGGCCUUCCAUCUUCCGGUUGGUGUAAUCUUCCAACCUCCAGACCUACCGGGAGGUUGUGGAUCGAGCCUUGAUUGUGGAGGCGGGAGCGGCAGAUCUGCAGGAGCGUCGCGAGAGCUUGGAGAAAGGGAAGGGUAAGAGGCCCGCGGCUGAGGGUGCGAGUCAGACGCACUCACGGAAGCCGCUGAGGCAUCCCAGGAGCAGGAGCCAGUCGCGAGGACGCGGCCAGUCUACCCAGCGAGGAGGACCCGAUCGUCGCCAGGCUCCCCGCUGCGUGAUCUGUGGCGGUCCCCAUUACCCGCGGCAGUGUUCACGCAGCCGGGGCAGGUGCUUCUUGUGUGGCCAGGAGGGCCACUUCCAGUCGGACUGCCCGAGGAGUCCAUUGCCAGCGCCAUCUGCGGCAUCUGCACCAGCAUCGCCAGGUCCCAGCCAGGGGACAUCUUCUGCGCAUCACCAGGCAGGACGGCCGCCAGUUCUGCGACAGGCGGAGGGGUCACGACAGGCCCCGAGCGGGCGCAUGUACGCGGCCCAGACUGAGGAGGCGGCGGCAGCCAAGAAUGUGGUCGCAGGUAUCAUUUUACUUUAUGGUAUUCGAGCUAGAGCUUUGUUUGAUACGGGUGCAUCGCAUUCAUUCAUUGACCGGCUGUUUGCCGAGUUGCAUGGCAUCCCACUUGCAUGCUUAUUGCAUCCAGGACGAGUUACUGUACCCGAUCACUCUUUGGACAUUCGGGAGUUUUGUCCCAGUUGCCCUGUUAGGAUUGGAGAUUGGAUCAUGCCCGUGGACUUGUUAGCGUUGCAUAAACUCGGAGAGUUUGAUGUAGUGUUGGGCAUGGACUGGUUGACUAAGUACUACGCCACCAUCGAUUGCAAGGAUCGAACGGUAACGUUUAGAGAGCCGGGGCAGGCGGAGGUUGUGUACCGAGGAUGCCAGAGUUCGCUGUUUGCGAUGACGAUUAGCUCUUCUCGAGCUCGGCAGUUGAUUAGUAGAGGCUGCGUAGCCUAUUUGGCUACUGUCGUGUUGCGAGGCGAUGCGGACGCCCCUAGGAUUGAGGAUAUUCCCGUAGUGCGGGACUUUGGAGAUGUGUU
rnacentral:lncRNA from 1 species